CCUACGGGUGGCAGCAGUGAGGAAUAUUGGUCAAUGGCCGUAAGGCUGAACCAGCGAAGCCGCGUGAGUGAAGAAGUAUCUAUGUUUUUUAAACUUCAUUUAUAGGGGAAUAAAGGUAUCCACGUGUGGAUAUUUGCAUGUACCCUAUGAAUAAGCAUCGGCUAGCUCCGUUCCAGCAGCCGCGGUAAUACGGAGGAUGCGAGCGUUAUCCGGAUUUAUGGGGUGUAAAGGGAGCGUCGACGGCGAUGCAAGGCAGGGGUGAAAGGCCGGGGCACAACCCCGGGACUGCCCUUGAAACUGUGCGGCUAGAGUGCGGGAGGGGCAGGCGGAAUUCCUGGGGGAGCGGUGAAAUGCGUAGAUAUCAGGAGGAACACCAGCGGCGAAGGCGGCUUGCUGGACCGUGACUGACGUUGAGGCUCGAAAGCGUGGGGAGCGAACAGGAUUAGAUACCCCUGUAGUC
rnacentral:rRNA from 1 species